rnacentral:rRNA from 1 species
AUACGUAGGGGACGAGCGUUAUCCGGAAUUACUGGGCGUAAAGAGCUCGUAGGUGGUUUGUCGCGUCGUCUGUGAAAUUCCGGGGCUUAACUCCGGGCGUGCAGGCGAUACGGGCAUAACUUGAGUACUGUAGGGGAGACUGGAAUUCCUGGUGUAGCGGUGAAAUGCGCAGAUAUCAGGAGGAACACCGGUGGCGAAGGCGGGUCUCUGGGCAGUAACUGACGCUGAGGAGCGAAAGCAUGGGUAGCGAACAGGAUUAGAUCCCCUGGUAGUCCAUGCCGUAAACGGUGGGCGCUAGGUGUAGGGGUCUUCCACGACUUCUGUGCCGUAGCUAACGCAUUAAGCGCCCCGCCUGGGGAGUACGGCCGCAAGGCUAAAACUCAAAGGAAUUGACGGGG